UCAACACUACAACCAGACACGCGGCGCCU
rnacentral:sRNA from 1 species